GGAGAGGUGGCAGAGUGGCAGAAUGCACAUCUUUGCUAAAGAUGCGUACCCCAAAAGGGUACCGAGGGUUCAAAUCCCUCCCUCUCCGCCA
rnacentral:tRNA from 1 species